rnacentral:tRNA from 1 species
GGUGUGGCUCAGUCUGGUAGAGCGUCUGCUUUGGGAGCAGAAUGUCGCAGGUUCGAAUCCUGUCACC